rnacentral:rRNA from 1 species
UGUUCUUUAAUAAGGACUAGUAUGAACGGCACCACGAAGACCAUGCUGUCUCCUUUUUCUAAUCAGUGAAACUGAUCUCCCCGUGAAGAAGCGGGGAUUAUUCUAUAAGACGAGAAGACCCUAUGAAGCUUAAAAUUUAUAUCAACUGCCACCCAUAUACCACCUCAACCUGACAGACCUGAUUACCAAUUUUUGGUUGGGGUGACCGCGGAGCAAAAUUAAACCUCCACAAUGAAAGGACCAACCUCCUAAUUCAAGAAUUACACUUCUAAAAAUCAACAUAUUGACAUAAAUUGAUCCAAUUUUUGAUCAAUGAACCAAGUUACUCUAGGGAUAACAGCGCAAUCCAUUUCAAGAGCCCCUAUCGACAAAUGGGUUUACGACCUCGAUGUUGGAUCAGGGUGUCCUAGUGGUGCAACCGCUACUAAAGGUUCGUUUGUUCAACGAUUAAAACCCUACGUGAUCUG